UGACCAGGUGGCCUCAGGGAAGGUAUCCCAGA
rnacentral:piRNA from 1 species